rnacentral:rRNA from 1 species
GGCGGCAGGCCUCAAACAUGCAAGUCUAGGGGAGUAGCAAUAGCCACCGGCGGACGGGUGCGUAACGCGUGGGAACAUACCUUUCGGUACGGAACAACCCAGGGAAACUUGGGCUAAUACCGUAUACGUCCUAACGGAGAAAGAUUUAUCGCCGAAGGAUUGGCCCGCGUUCGAUUAGCUAGUUGGUGAGGUAACGGCUCACCAAGGCGACGAUCGAUAGCUGUUCUGAGAGGAAGAUCAGCCACACUGGGACUGAGACACGGCCCAGACUCCUACGGGAGGCAGCAGUUGGGAAUCUUGGACAAUGGGGGAAACCCUGAUCCAGCCAUGCCGCGUGAGUGAUGAAGGCCUUCGGGUUGUAAAACUCUUUCGACGGGGACGAUAAUGACGGUACCCGUAGAAGAAGCUCCGGCUAACUUCGUGCCAGCAGCCGCGGUAAUACGAAGGGGGCUAGCGUUGUUCGGAAUUACCGGGCGUAAAGCGCGCGCAGGCGGUCUUUCAAGUCAGUGGUGAAAUCCUGGAGCUCAACUCCAGAACUGCCAUUGAAACUGCAAGACUGGAGUACGAGAGA